rnacentral:rRNA from 1 species
GACAGAGGAUGCAAGCGUUAUCCGGAAUGAUUGGCGUAAAGCGUCUGUAGGUGGCUUUUUAAGUCCGCCGUCAAAUCCCAGGGCUCAACCCUGGACAGGCGGUGGAAACUACCAAGCUGGAGUACGGUAGGGGCAGAGGGAAUUUCCGGUGGAGCGGUGAAAGUGCGUAGAGAGUCGGAAGGAACACCAACGGCGAAAGCACUCUGCUGGGCCGACACUGACACUGAGAGACGAAAGCUAGGGGAGCGAAUGGG